rnacentral:tRNA from 1 species
GCGGGCAUCGUAUAAUGGCUAUUACUCCAGCCUUCCAAGCUGAUAAUUCGGGUUCGAUUCCCGAUGCCCGCUCCA